GGGCCAAAGCUCAGUGGUAGAGCAUCUUCUUUCCAUGUAGAAGGUCCCAGGUUCAACCCCUGUCAUCUCCA